rnacentral:rRNA from 1 species
UACGGGAGGCAGCAGUGGGGAAUAUUGCACAAUGGGCGCAAGCCUGAUGCAGCCAUGCCGCGUGUAUGAAGAAGGCCUUCGGGUUGUAAAGUACUUUCAGUCGUGAGGAAGGUGUUAAGGUUAAUAACCUUAGCAAUUGACGUUAGCGACAGAAGAAGCACCGGCUAACUCCGUGCCAGCAGCCGCGGUAAUACGGAGGGUGCGAGCGUUAAUCGGAAUUACUGGGCGUAAAGGGCACGCAGGCGGUUAAUUAAGUUGGAUGUGAAAUCCCCCGGGCUUAACCUGGGAAUGGCAUUCAAGACUGGUUAGCUAGAGUCUUGUAGAGGGGGUUAGAAUUCCAUGUGUAGCGGUGAAAUGCGUAGAGAUGUGGAGGAAUACCGGUGGCGAAGGCGGCCCCUGGACAAAGACUGACGCUCAUGUGCGAAAGCGUGGGGAGCAAACAGGGAUUAGAUACC